AACGAACGCUGGCGGCAUGCCUAACACAUGCAAGUCGAACGAGACCUUCGGGUCUAGUGGCGCACGGGUGCGUAACGCGUGGGAACCUGCCCUUAGGUUCGGAAUAACUCCCCGAAAGGGGUGCUAAUACCGGAUAAUGUCUUCGGACCUAAGAUGUAUCGCCUUGGGCUGGGGCCGCGUUGGAUUAGCGAGUUGGUAGGGUAAAAGCCUACCAAGGCGACGAUCCAUAGCUGGUCUGGGAGGAUGACCAGCCACGCUGGGACUGAGACACGGCCCAGACUCCGACGGAAGGGAGCAGUAGGGAAUAUUGUAGGAUGGACGAAAGCCUGAUCCAGCAGUGCCGCGUGAGUGAGGAAGGCCUUAGUGUUGUAAAGCUCUUUUACACGAGACGAGAAUGACAGUACCGGGAGAAUAAGCACCGGCUAACUCCGUG
rnacentral:rRNA from 1 species